AAGUCGUAACAAGGUUUCCGUAGGUGAACCUGCGGAAGGAUCAUUAACACGUAUCCACGUUUAACCACCCGUGCACCUUCAUUUUAUACCGUCGUGUCAUGAAGCUUGCGAUGUUCUACUUUUGCCUUGCGGUUUGUCGAGCUGGUGUUGUGGACGACAAUCUAUCUUGGGAGGCCCUUGUGGGGUGGUUAGCGAAGCAACCUCUGUCCAUGAGAAUGUGUCUUCGGGGUAGCUUGUUGUUCUCAUUUGCCAGCUUGUCGAAUCUCGAUGUCAAAUUCCUGACUCGCAAGUUUUGUGUCCGCGUCCCAGUUGUUCUUACCCACCGCGUACCAAAAGUGACGCAAUUCAACCGUGCGCAGGCCAAAAGGCCAGCGUCGGAAACCCGCACAACUGUUAA
rnacentral:misc_RNA from 1 species